rnacentral:rRNA from 1 species
AUGGACGCCGCCGCCGCCGCCGUCACCACCCUCUCCGCGCUCGCCGUCUUCGCCAGCACGCUCCACCAAGGCGCCGUGCGGAGCGUGCACGGGUACAGGGUCGUCGCGAUGGGAGGGAGGUGCGCGUGGGACCGGUGGGUGGAGCGGGAGUUCGCCUUCUCCCCCACCUCCUGCCGCGAGGUCCCGCUCCCCGCCGCCGCGCCGCGGAUACUCCCGGUCGAGUGGCGCGGCCGCCCGGCGUACCGCGAGGGCCAGGUGCUGGGCGCCUGGCGCUGCGUCCUGGCCUUCGAUUCCAUCGCCGCCGUGCCGCUGCCGCCCACGCCUCCCCCGAUGCUCUGCCCCUUCCGGAACCCGGGGCUGGUGUGCGUGCCUUCGCUGUACAACGACCUGUACAUGGUGUAUCAGUUUCAGAAAUUUCAACAGGCCCCGGAGCUCGUCAAACGUGAUUCGGAUGAGAAAUCGACCCGUUUGGAAGCAGAUGAUAAAACUUCUGAUGUCGAAGUUAAAGAAGAGUCAGGGUCUGAUUCUGAUGAGGAUCCCCAAUCUGGUGAAGAACUUCCAGCACAUGUUGAGAGACGCCGGAGAGCCAAGAAGCAGCACAUAGCUAGCAUCACUCUAGCUGACAUAGCCCCGUACUUCCAUCUUCCAAUCAGAGAAGCAUCCAGGGCUCUGAAGAUCGGAGUCAGCAUACUGAAGCAGAAAUGCAGGCAAUACGGGAUACCCCGCUGGCCUCACAGGAAGAUCAAGUCCCUCGAUUCACUGAUUAGUGAUCUGGAGUUUGUGAUGGACGACACAGAUGGAGAUGUUGUGCAGAAGGAGACUCGCAGGCAGAGGGAGAAGGAGAGGGAGAAGGAGAAGGAGAAGGAGAAGGAGAAGCAGGAGGCGAUCCAAGCGCUGGCUAAGCGGAAGCGGUUGCUGGAGAGCGAGAAGGAGAUCAUCCAGCAGAAGCCUGCCCUGGACCUGAUGGCUGAAACCAAGCUGUUUAGGGAGGACGUUUUCAAGAGGAGAUACAGAGCUAAAAGAUUGCCCGGUCAAUGA